rnacentral:rRNA from 1 species
GUAUACUCCGUGANUUCAGCUGGUGUGGAUAUUUUGGGCUUGGUUGAAUGGGUUAGACACUGAGGUAUACUGAGCUGUAUGUCCCAGUCAAUUUGGUUGGGAUGCACGCUACGCUUAUCAUGCGUUGUGCGCCUCAGUUGUUUAUCUGCCCCCUCAUCAGUGCAAUUUCACGGGGUGAUCACCACGACCGGCGUUGCUGCCUGGCUGUUUUGGUCAAACUGCCCUUUCACCGUCCAUGUGGCGUUGUUUGGUCGGGAUGGCAGGUAACUCGUUAGCUUGCUUCAGUUUGCUCUCGGGUGUUUACAGCUGGCCAAACUGGUACUGUGCAGCACGUCGGAGAUAUCGGCUCGUUGUGCGUACUCGCGCAUCCUAUUUUCCAGAGGAUCCUGGUUUGAUUAUUGUAUUGCCUAUUCAGACAGGUCCAAUAGUAUCCAGGUUCCUAUUGGUUAUUGUUUGCGUGAGCGGCACCAUGAAAGGCCAAAAGUCUGUGGUGUUGUGGUAGACUAUCCACCUGACCCGUCUUGAAACACGGACCAAGGAGAGUAACAUGUGCGCGAGUCAUUGGGCACUACGAAACCCAAAGGCAGAGUGAAAGUGAAGGUCUGACGUUUUGUACAGACUAUGGUGAGAUCCUGUCGUUUCUCACACGUGGCACCACCAAGUAAUAUAGAGAGCGACAGGCGCAUCACCGGCCCGCCCCAUGGCGUAGACAUGGUCAUUUUGUACUCGUGCAUCGUCGGGGCGGAGCAUGAGCGCACAUGUUGAGACCCGAAAGAUGGUGAACUAUGCUUGCGCAGGUUGAAGCCAGAGGAAACUCUGGUGGAGGACCGCAGCGAUUCUGACGUGCAAAUCGAUCGUCAAACGUGAGUAUAGGGGCGAAAGACUAAUCGA